UACGAAGGGGGCUAGCGUUGCUCGGAAUCACUGGGCGUAAAGGGCGCGUAGGCGGCCUGAUAAGUCGGGGGUGAAAGCCUGUGGCUCAACCACAGAAUUGCCUUCGAUACUGUUAGGCUUGAGACCGGAAGAGGUAAGUGGAACUGCGAGUGUAGAGGUGAAAUUCGUAGAUAUUCGCAAGAACACCAGUGGCGAAGGCGGCUUACUGGUCCGGAUCUGACGCUGAGGCGCGAAAGCGUGGGGAGCAAACAGG
rnacentral:rRNA from 1 species